AACGGGGGGGACGAGUGUUGCUCAACUUGACUGGGCGUAAAGGGCAAUUAGACGGUUUUCUCGGUGGGGGGUUAAAGCCCGGGGCCCAACUCCGGAUCGGCCCCCCAUACCCGAAGACUUGGAGUUCGGUAGGGGGCAGCAGUACCCCCGGUGUAGAGGUAAAAUUCGGUGAUAUCGGGGGGACUAGCGAUGGCGAAGGCAGCUGCCUGGUCCGAUACUGACGUUGAAAGGCGAAAGCGUGGGGAGCAAACAGG
rnacentral:rRNA from 1 species